rnacentral:precursor_RNA from 15 species
UUCAUCUUCAACAUUCUGUGUGUGGUACCCUACUCCAGAGCGUGGCAAUCAUGUAUAAUUAAAUGUGACUGGCACCUCUGUGAGUGGAGUAACACAUGACAUGUACAACAUAUAUGAU